CCUACGUGUGUCUUCAGUGAGGAAUAUUGGUCAAUGGCCGGAAGGCUGAACCAGCCAAGCCGCGUGAAGGACGCAGGUGCCAAGCAUUGUAAACUUCUUUUGUCAAGGGACAAAAUCAGGCUCGAGAGCCUGACCGAGGGUACUUGAAGAAAAAGCAUCGGCUAACUCCGUGCCAGCAGCCGCGGUAAUACGGAGGAUGCGAGCGUUCUCCGGAUUUCUUUGGUUUAAAGGGUUCGUAGGCGGACUUUUAUGUCAGCGGGAAAAGCCCGGGGCGCAACCCCGGCGAGCCGGUGAAACUGGCUGUCUUGAGAUGUCGAGAGGUAUGCGGAAUGCGCAGUGUAGCGGUGAAAUGCUUAGAUAUUGCGCAGAACUCCGAUUGCGAAGGCAGCAUACCGGCGGCGAUCUGACGCGGAGGCACGAAAGCGUGGGUAUCGAACAGGAUUAGAUACCCGUGUAGUC
rnacentral:rRNA from 1 species